rnacentral:rRNA from 1 species
GACGUAGGAUGCAAGCGUUGUCCGGAUUCAUUGGGCGUAAAGAGUUCGUAGGUGGUUUGUUAAGUUUGGUGUGAAAUCUCCCGGCUCAACUGGGAGGGUGCGCCGAAUACUGAAUGACUAGAGUGCGGGAGAGGUGAGUGGAAUUCCUGGUGUAGCGGUGAAAUGCGUAGAUAUCAGGAGGAACACCGGUGGUGUAGACGGCUCACUGGACCGUAACUGACGCUGAAACACGAAAGCGUGGGUAGCAAACAGG